rnacentral:rRNA from 1 species
UUGCCUGUUUAUCAAAAACAUGUCUGUGUGGAGUUAUAUACAGUUUGACCUGCUCACUGAUUUGAUUAAAGAGCCGCAGUAUUUUGACUAGUGCGAAGGUAGCAUAAUAGAUUGUCUUUUAAAUGGAGGCUGGAAUGAAUGGUUGGACAAAGUAUCAUCUGUUUCUUAAAUAAAUAUUGAACUUGACUUUUAAGUUAAAAGGCUUAAAUAAAAUAAAAAGACGAUAAGACCCUAUAAAUCUUUACAUAACUUAUAUUUUAAAUUUUAGUUUAUAAAUUCAUAAAGUAUAAAAAUAUAUUUUUGUUUUGCUGGGGCGGCGUAGAUAUAUAAACAAACUGUCUAUAAAAUUAAAUCAAUGGUAGUUGAUUAUUAGUUUUGAUCCUUUAAUAGAUUAAAAGAUUAAGAUACUUUAGGGAUAACAGCGUUAUUUUUUCUGAGAGUUCUUAUCGAAGAAAAAGUUUGCGACCUCGAUGUUGAAUUAAAGUUUCUUUGUGGUGUAGCAGCUAUAAGAGAGAGUCCUGUUCGACUUUUAAUACUUUACAUGAUUUGAGUUCAGACCGGCGUGAGCCAGGUUG